rnacentral:tmRNA from 2 species
GGGGACGUAACGGGUUCGACGGGGGCGUUGAAGCCGGGAUAGCGGGCGGCAGUGAGGACGCUGCCUUAAAAGCCUCAACUGUUUAUAAAUUAAACAACAACAACAAAACUUUACUGGCUGCCUAAUUAGGCUGGCCCGUCAUCCCGGAGCAGACCGCGGCUCCGGUGCAUGGCGUCGUUAUGCGGUGAACGUGUAUGGGCUAAGCUUUGCGCCUGUCAUGUAAUAUGAAGCUACUGAAACGGUAAGCCUGUUUGCCGGCGUGCCGCAGAGGGAAUGUCAAAAGACAAACUGCGCCCGGAGAAGUCCUUGUGGAUGCGCUUUCGGACAGGGGUUCAACUCCCCUCGUCUCCACCA